AAACCAACAGGGAUUGCCUUAGUAGCGGCGAGUGAAGCGGCAAGAGCUCAAAUUUGAAAUCUGGUACCUUCGGUGCCCGAGUUGUAAUUUGAAGAAGGGUAUCUUGACUUUGGCCUUUGUCUAUGUUCCUUGGAACAGGACGUCACAGAGGGUGAGAAUCCCGUGCGAUGAGGUGUCCUUUGUCAUAUAAGAUUCCUUCGAAGAGUCGAGUUGUUUGGGAAUGCAGCUCUAAGUGGGUGGUAAAUUCCAUCUAAGGCUAAAUAUUGGCGAGAGACCGAUAGCGAACAAGUACAGUGAUGGAAAGAUGAAAAGAACUUUGAAAAGAGAGUGAAAAAGUACGUGAAAUUGUUGAAAGGGAAGGGUAUUAGAUCAGACUUGGUAUUUAGUUAUCAUCUCUCCUUGUGGGGGGUGCUCUAGCUGUUUACUGGGCCAGCAUCAGUUUUGGUGGCAGGAUAAUGACAUUUGAAUGUGGCUCCUUUGGAGUGUUAUAGCUUUUGUUGAUACUGCCUACUGGGACUGAGGUCUGCGGCUUUGCCUAGGAUGCUGGCGUAAUGAUCCAAUACCGC
rnacentral:rRNA from 1 species